rnacentral:lncRNA from 11 species
CACAAGCUAGAAGAAACUGCAGUUUGAGUCUACUGAAGACUCAAGUGAGAACACAUUGGGAGAGAAGCUGGGAAAUCUUCAAAGCAGAGACUAAAUUGGGACAAUCGAGAGUUAGUUGGGAUCAUUCUUGCCAAAUCUGUACAAUUGGAGGACGUGCCAUGUGGGAUCCAGGACAUCUUGCCUCGCCUUUCUUUUUAAAAUCUGU